AAGUAGCUUCAGUUGUCAGGAAUUGAAUGUAUUUGACUUUCCUUCUCCUGAAGAAUACGUAGGAUAAAAAACAAUGAACCAAAAAUGGGAUGUCACCCAAGAAAAAACUGAGAAGCAAAUAGAACCUGGAAAAAUGAGAACACAGGAAAACAAGGCACAAUACAGAAG